rnacentral:rRNA from 1 species
GACGUAGGAGGCGAGCGUUGUCCGGAUUCAUUGGGCGUAAAGAGCACGCAGGCGGUUUGGCAAGUCGGAUGUGAAAACUCGGGGCUCAACCCCGAGCCUGCAUUCGAUACGGGCAGACUAGAGUUCGGUAGGGGAGACUGGAAUUCCCGGUGUAGCGGUGAAAUGCGCAGAUAUCAGGAGGAACACCGGUGGCGAAGGCGGGUCUCUGGGCCGAUACUGACGCUGAGGAGCGAAAGCGUGGGGAGCGAACAGG